GGUAUGUCUAUACUUCUCAUACUUUUAGAUUUAAUUUUAAAUUUUAAAUAUCAGAUAAUAAAAUUAGAUCUAAUAGAUAUUAGAUCUAAAAUAGCAUAGGAUUAAAUUUUUAAAUUAUUCCACCCCAGAUUUGAUGAAAUCUGAAAGAUCCUACAAAGGAAAAAGGUGAUUUUUCUUUCAAUUGUGUGUCAUAUGCAUUCAUUGUCCUCAUAACUAAAUGGUGUGGAGAUAUUGGUGUAGCAUACAAGUGAAAUUGUAGGAGUACAUCUCAU
rnacentral:lncRNA from 1 species